UAUCAUGACCAUGCCACCCAGCAUAUCCUGAUCUCCUUUGCUUUCAGAAGCUAAGUAUAUCCAGACCUCAUUAGUACCUGGAUGGGAGACCAGGAAGGAAUAGCCAGGAUUUCCUAGUAC
rnacentral:rRNA from 1 species